rnacentral:lncRNA from 10 species
UACUUAUAUAUGCUAUGAUAAUUAUCAUGUACACCUAAAUAGACUAAUAAUUUAAUAUGAAAACAGAUUCUUUUAUAUUGUUCAAAUGUAAUGGGUAAUAUCUAAUGAAAUACUUCUAUAAUUUACCUAUAGUUUGAUAAUAAAGAAGAAUUUUUAAAAUAUAUAAUAACUUGGUAAGCAAUAUUUCACAAUAUUUCAGAUUUCUUGAUCUUUGUUUCAGUUUCAGGGUACCUGCAGAAUACAGACAUUUUGAGUUAAGAAAACCACACGUCUAUCUUCAAAAUUGAGAUUACCCUCUAUAUUUCAUUUUUCAUAAUUGCACAGAAAUGACAUCACCCAAUUUUCCAAAUUAUAUGACUUGAAUUUCACACUGGAUGUUUCAAAAAUUUGUUGAUUAACUUAUUGGAUAGUGACUCACUCAUUCACAGCUGGCUUUCACUCCAGACUUUUGUUCUCUUUUCUUCAAGCUGUUUACGUCUUAUUAACCAUUCAAAAUGCUUCUCAGCCCCCACCUCCUCUGUGAAGCUUUCUCUGACCAACUCCCAACCCCUCAAGCUUUCUCCACUCUCUCUGCCCCCUCCUUACCUGGCUGGGGUCACACUGGGCUUCAUUUAUCUCUUUACACAUCUGCCCCCUUUGUCUCCCCUGCUAGAUAGAGCAACGUCAUUAAGAAAAGUGUUUUUCUCUGUUUGUUGCCCAAGGGAGAUUUACUCUCUUCCCCUUUAACAAAAUGUUUUCUCACAGACUACAGCCUUGUAGCAGCAUGGACAAUAAGCUAUUCCUAAUACCAAUUUGCUGAUAAGGGAAAUGUUAUAUUAUUAUAUGUCUAAGAAUCUGCAGUCAUGAGCAAAAAGGAUAUCUUCUUGCAACUCUGUCUUAUACCUCUUUAGAGGUAUGUUUCAAUGCCCUCUCCUUUCCAUUGCAGAGUAGUGUGGUCUACUAGGCUGGGCCUCCACAAUCCACCCCUCACCCCUCUAAUCACCUCUCCUCCUCUUUGCCUCCUUGCACACUGCAUUCCUGCUAUUCCUUGAGCACCCCAGGCACAGUGGGUGCUGAAGAGUCCCCCACUUCAGCCUACCUUAGAGCCUCCAUACCAGCUGGUCUCUGUGCUGAAAAUACUGGCCCUGGUGGCUGGAUGCCUCACUCCAUAAAGGGUUUGUCCUCCCUACCCUGCUGUACCCACCCUAUUCCCAAUCCCCUUGAGCCUUCCCUACUUUUAUACUUUGCUUUUUUUCCAUAGCACUUAUUAUCUUAUAACAUGUCGUAUACCUUAUUUAUUAUGGUUAUUGCUUAUUUUCUGUUGAUUAGGUUGUAAGCCCUGUGAGAUCAGAGAUCUAUUUUGAUGCACACCAAGUACCUAGGACAGUGUUUGACAUGGGGGAGCCACUCAGUAAAUAUUUUUUGAAUGAAAAAUUAUGUGAUCAAAUUCAGGAGGAAGAGCUGCUGUUAUGGGACACGGAAGUACUUAUGUGGACUAGGUAGUUUAUGAGCCUGAAGUUGCGUGUUUGCCUUCAAGUAGACUCUAAGCUGGUAGAGAUAAGAUUCUAUACAUUUUUACCUGCAGAAUUGAUGGUGCCAGACUUAAGAUACUGGUCUUGUGUAUGCUCAGAAAGGCUUUGGCCAUAAAAUUCCAGACUUAAUUAUAAGCAAUGUAUAACUUUUAAAUCAUAUAAAUUCUUAGAUUGAAAAAUAACAUUGAAAGGUAGUGAUUCCUAAAAUAAGAAUACUUCAACAAAAUAUUUUCUUGGUUAUAUUGCAGCAAAGAAGACAGUGGAAUCCAAAGAAACAGUUAUGAUGGGGGACUCUAUGGUGAAAAUAAAUGGGAUUUAUUUAACAAAAUCAAAUGCUAUUUGCCACUUAAAGAGUCACCCACUUCAGCU